GUCUUUUUGAGUUAUUUUUAAAGUCUGACCUGCCCACUGAAUAAUUUUUAAAUGGCCGCAGUAUUCUAACUGUGCAAAGGUAGCAUAAUCAUUAGUCUUUUAAUUGAAGGCUGGUAUGAAUGGUUGGACGAAGUAUAAGCUGUUUCAUAUAAAAUUAUAUUAGAAUUUUAUAUUUUAGUCAAAAAGCUAAAAUUUUAUUAAAAGACGAGAAGACCCUAUAAAUCUUUAUAUUUAAUAUUAUUCAAAUUUUUUUGAUUAAUUUUAUCUUUAUAGUUUUAAAUAUUUUGUUGGGGUGAUGUUAAAAUUUAAUGAACUUUUAAUUAUUAAUUUAAAUCAUUAAUUUAUGAAUAAUUGAUCCAUUAUUAAUGAUUAUAAGAUUAAGUUACUUUAGGGAUAACAGCGUAAUUUUUUUUGAGAGUUCAUAUCGACAAAAAAGUUUGCGACCUCGAUGUUGGAUUAAGAUAUAUCUUUAGGUGUAGCAGCUUAAAUAUAAAGUCUGUUCGACUUUUAAAUUCUUACAU
rnacentral:rRNA from 1 species